GACGAACGCUGGCGGCGUGCUUAACACAUGCAAGUCGAACGGAAAGGCCUCUUUCGGGGGGUACUCGAGUGGCGAACGGGUGAGUAACACGUGAGUAACCUGCCCUUGACUUUGGGAUAACUUCAGGAAACUGGGGCUAAUACCGGAUAGGAGCUCCUGCCGCAUGGUGGGGGUUGGAAAGUUUCGGCGGUUGGGGAUGGACUCGCGGCUUAUCAGCUUGUUGGUGGGGUAGUGGCUUACCAAGGCUUUGACGGGUAGCCGGCCUGAGAGGGUGACCGGCCACAUUGGGACUGAGAUACGGCCCAGACUCCUACGGGAGGCAGCAGUGGGGAAUAUUGCACAAUGGGCGGAAGCCUGAUGCAGCAACGCCGCGUGCGGGAUGACGGCCUUCGGGUUGUAAACCGCUUUCGCCUGUGACGAAGCGUGAGUGACGGUAAUGGGUAAAGAAGCACCGGCUAACUACGUG
rnacentral:rRNA from 1 species